ACGUAGGGUGCAAGCGUUAAUCGGAAUUACUGGGCGUAAAGCGCGCGUAGGCGGUUGUGUAAGUUGGAUGUGAAAUCCCCAGGCUUAACCUGGGCACUGCAUUCAAAACUGCACGGCUAGAGUAUGGGAGAGGAAGGUAGAAUUCCAGGUGUAGCGGUGAAAUGCGUAGAGAUCUGGAGGAACAUCUGUGGCGAAGGCGGCCAUCUGGACCAGCACUGACACUGAGGCACGAAAGCGUGGGGAGCAAACAGGA
rnacentral:rRNA from 1 species